rnacentral:rRNA from 1 species
ACUCCUACGGGAGGCAGCAGUGGGGAAUCUUAGACAAUGGGCGCAAGCCUGAUCUAGCCAUGCCGCGUGAGUGAUGAAGGCCUUAGGGUCGUAAAGCUCUUUCGCCAGGGAUGAUAAUGACAGUACCUGGUAAACGAAACCCCGGCUAACUCCGUGCCAGCAGCCGCGGUAAUACGGAGGGGUUAGCGUUGUUCGGAAUUACUGGGCGUAAAGCGCGCGUAGGCGGAUUAGUCAGUUAGAGGUGAAAUCCCAGGGCUCAACCCUGGAACUGCCUUUAAUACUGCUAGUCUUGAGUUCGAGAGAGGUGAGUGGAAUUCCGAGUGUAGAGGUGAAAUUCGUAGAUAUUCGGAGGAACACCAGUGGCGAAGGCGGCUCACUGGCUCGAUACUGACGCUGAGGUGCGAAAGUGUGGGGAGCAAACAGGAUUAGAUACCCUGGUAGCGACUGA